rnacentral:rRNA from 1 species
AGCUUGCUCCUGAUUGAUAAACAUUGAGUGAGUGGCGGACGGGUGAGUAACACGUGGGUAACCUGCCCUAAAGUGGGGAUAACAUUUGGAAACAGAUGCUAAUACCGCAUAAAACCUAACACCGCAUGGUGUAGGGUUGAAAGAUGGUUUCGGCUAUCACUUUAGGAUGGACCCGCGGUGCAUUAGUUAGUUGGUGAGGUAAAGGCUCACCAAGACCGUGAUGCAUAGCCGACCUGAGAGGGUAAUCGGCCACACUGGGACUGAGACACGGCCCAGACUCCUACGGGAGGCAGCAGUAGGGAAUCUUCCACAAUGGACGAAAGUCUGAUGGAGCAACGCCGCGUGAGUGAAGAAGGUUUUCGGAUCGUAAAACUCUGUUGUUGGAGAAGAAUGUAUCUGAUAGUAACUGAUCAGGUAGUGACGGGUAUCCAACCAGAAAGCCACGGCUAACUACGUGCCAGCAGCCGCGGUAAUACGUAGGUGGCAAGCGUUGUCCGGAUUUAUUGGGCGUAAAGCGAGCGCAGGCGGUUUCUUAAGUCUGAUGUGAAAGCCUUCGGCUCAACCGAAGAAGUGCAUCGGAAACUGGGAAACUUGAGUGCAGAAGAGGACAGUGGAACUCCAUGU